UUAGAUCUGCCCCCCCCCCCAUGUGACUUUUGUCCAUGUUCAUCUUUUGAUCCACAAUAUAUCCUCCCCCUUUGGAAAAGCUGGUUGGGUCCAUGAAGUAGUAUGCAUUUUCUACUCCUCUGAAAAUAGCUACCAGAUUAAAUUUCCACGAAUCAGAUUCCAUUGCAUCAUACCACUAGAUGUCUCACCCUGUUGAAUGUAUUGAUUUAUUCUGUGUAAUCCACGUUGAGUCAUGGAGAAAAAGGAUUCAAAAUAACAAUAAAUACUACCCGAAUAUAUCAGAGAAUACCCCAGCAUUACCUUCUGAUACUGGUCCUGGAAAGAACUGGAAGCAAAGGAACAUACUGCCCCUAAUACCUAUGUCAGUUGGUGCUUUCAGACUGAUACAGGGAAAGCUGCAAAGGAAGAUAAGCAUCAGUAGGGUUUCUCUUUCUCUCACUGAAGACAGGGUGAAUAUGACAGCUGUUGUUCCAAAUAAAGGCUACAAUCUGCGUGGAAAUGGGUCUAGAGAAUUUUGCUUAAGAAAGCUUGGAAUUGCACAGCCACCACAUGUUCAAGUUCCAGACCUUGAAAGGGGUGUGAGGUCUCACAACCUUAAGCCAGUAAACGGACUCUGAAUAUUGAUCAGUAGCGUUGAUUGAAUAGGCAUCAAAGCACCACAUUUAGCAAAGCUAGUUCUUAUGAAGCUGGCAUUAACAGUCCCCUUUAUCCCCUGCAGAGAAUGCCCCCUCCCAUUCCCAAGAGUUUGUGAUAAGCAGUCUUUGGAGCUAAAGCACCCCAAGGUCUGCAGCAGAUAGCAAGAGAAAGCCACCUGGCUUCCUGCCCUAUGUGAUAAUGGAUGUAAUACAAUUUCCAUGGGACAGAAGUACCAGGGGAAGCCUAGUUGUCUACCAAGCAUGCGAAGCCAUAAAGCAAAGAUCAAGCAAAGAAUGCAUAGAUGGCAGUGGAUACAUAUAGCAGGCUGGUUGCAUAUAUCUUUCUAGCAACAGUAAUUUGUUAUUUUAAGCAGUUGCAUGGUCUGGGAAUGUAUCUCAAUCACCUAGAUAGCAUCCCCCUGACAAGGGGACACUUUUAACCAGAGAUCACUGUUCAAAUUAUUCCAAUUUAGAGUGGUUUGUUCUGCAGGGUUAUAAUUUCCUUGAAGGGGAUCAUCAACACCCCUUCCUUCAAAAAUAAUUCAUUAUACCCAGGACACAACUAGAAAAUCCUCUUCAGCUGGAAGUUAUAAACCAGGAUGAGCAUGGGUCUCUGAUAUUAAUGGAAUGUUACUAUAAUAUGGAUACUUCUGCAGCGUGGGAUGGGUGGAAGUCACAAUAGUUAUGUGCAGUUUUUGUAUUUAGUAUGCAGCAUG